GUUGUUCGCAGAGCUGCCUCCAAC
rnacentral:siRNA from 1 species